GGCAUUCAGUUUUUCCAAUAAUUGGUGAGAAAAGGCAAGGACAAUUCACUUGGAAGAGCUGCCAUUCGGCCGCCGGUUUCCAAUUGAAUGCAAUCAGCAUAUAGCGGAAAUGAGUUUGAGGAGCCAAGGCACAAUGACACGAACAUAUUGAUGUAUUAUCGCCAUUCAAAGACGCCGAAUCAUGUCCAAUAUGCCCGCUUAAUAUUGAACCGUUCGCCGUUAUAACAUCUCCUUCUAAUCGAACAGCUACUUGUAGAGCCUGUGAUUGAAAUUAAUUGUUUCCGAUCACCUCACAGAUCCAAUUCGGUACUACAAACAAACUGUGAUUUCUUACCUGCAUAGCUUGGGCCUCAUCACGUCGUUCAUCUUCCGUAUUCAUCGUCACAAAUCUUAGUACUAAUAAGUUCAAUGAAGCGGCUACAAUCGCCAGUCCGAAAAUGCUACCAUAUCUCCGAAUCCUAAAAGAAUUGAUCAAACAAUCGUUACAGAAAUUGAGCCGUAACGACAAAAAUGCUUCAAUCAACGUACCGAUGGUCGUGAGAGUGAUGAAACAAUAGUAAACUGAAUCAAAGUAACUCCAAC